AGAAAAUGAAGACCAGUCCAAAACAUUGCGUCAUUUAGUAUUUAGCACGCGCUAGAGUGAUUCAAAACAUCGAAUUUGACCGACACUGAACAGAGAUAAAACCCAGAUGUAUACAUGGCCUGGAUUUCCAUAUUAUGCUGCCCAGAAUAAAAGACGAUGCAGUCCAGAUAAAAACAUUAUGCAUCAGAUGAAGUCUUUGACUAUCUAGAAAGGGAUUUUGUAAGCUA